CCUGACUGACCCAGAUGAAUUUGAUUCAAGUGACUCAACAGUCAUUCUGAUCUCCCCUCAAAAGGGGGGCAGCAUUCAAGCAUUCAAGACUUCCCUUCUGAAGGGAGUAGCACCCCAGACUCGGGCAGCAAUGCCAGAUAUGCCCGCAUCUUUGCGUAAGAAGAAAACUCCAAACCGACAGACACAAGAAAAUUCCAGAGGACAUUGGACAUGUGAUGGGGGAGCUUCAACGCAUUCUGGACAAAAAUAACAUCCAUUACAUUGAUGAGCUGAAGGGAAGAUGGGACGACUUCUGCCAGAAGGUGCAGUUUUUUGGUGUGUGGAAAAAGCUGCUGAAACCCUCAGUAGGAAUGGACAAAGGCUCUCAGUAUCCUACGUGUGCUGCCUUCAUUGUUCCCCUCUUCAUCUGCUCCUCUGAAGAAGUUAGGACAUGUGAGUGAGGCUCUUGUGCAUGUCCUCG
ensembl:lncRNA